UGAAAAUAAAAGAUGCUUGCUCCUUGGGAGAAAAGCCAUGACAAACCUAGACAGCAUAUUAAAAAGCAAAGAUAUUACUUUACCAAUAAAGGUCUGUCUAGUCAAAGCUAUGGUUUUUCCGUAGUAAAGUAUGGAUGUGAGAGUUGGACUAUAAAGAAAGCUGAGCACUGAAGAACCAAUGCUUUUGAACUGUGGUGUUGGAGAAGACUCUUGAGAGUCCUUUGAACUGCAAGGAGAUCCAACCAGUACAUCCUAAAGGAAAUCAGUCCUGAAUAUUCACUGGAAGGACUGAUGAUGAAGCUGAAGCUCCAAUACUUUGGCCACCUGAUGAGAAGAACUGACUCACUGGAAAAAACCCUGAUGCUGGAAAAGAUUGAAGGCAGGAGGAGAAGGGGACAACAGAGGAUAAGAUGGUUGGAUGGCAUCAUCGACUCGAUGGACAUGAGUUUGGCAGGUUUGGUGGCCGGUCAGGAGCCUCAGACAGCAGGGCAUGGAACGGAAGUCAGAGCACCACCACGUGGCACGCCGGGGCAGAGAGUGACCAUCUGGAGGGGAGGCUUUUGAACGGGUCAUGCCUGGGACAGGGUCCGAAGACUAAGGUCUUCCACCACCGGACGCCAGGCCCGCGGCUGCCAACUGCUGGGAAGCCGUCCUCCCGCGGCCGCCGUCCGCCCGAGGCCCCGGGCGCUCUAGGCCAACCCCGUCCGUCAGUCCGUCCGUCCCUCCGUCCGUCCGUCAGUACUCCCUCCCCUCGGCCGGUCCAUCGGCCCGUCAGUCAGUCAGUCAGCGCUCCCUCCCCUCGGCGGGUCCAGCGGGCCGUCCGUUGGCCAGCCCCCCUCCCCCGCUCCAUCCUCUGCUCAGUCCGUCGGUCCCCGCGCCUGCCGUCUUCUCGCAGCUCAGUCGGUCGACAGCCCGCCCCCUCCCCUCGAGCCGGUCGGUCAGGCCGUCCCCCGUCAUCGCCGUCACCCCCGACCCCCCCGCCCUCAGCUAGCGUCCGGCCCCCGGACGCGCUCAGCCCGCCGUCCGGCCGUCCGCGCUCCCGA
ensembl:lncRNA